UACGAAGGGGGCUAGCGUUGUUCGGAUUUACUGGGCGUAAAGCGCACGUAGGCGGCCUUGUAAGUUGGGGGUGAAAUCCCGGGGCUCAACUCCGGAACUGCCUUCAAGACUGCAAAGCUAGAGGACGCGAGAGGUUAGCGGAAUUCCGAGUGUAGAGGUGAAAUUCGUAGAUAUUCGGAAGAACACCAGUGGCGAAGGCGGCUAACUGGCGCGUUUCUGACGCUGAGGUGCGAAAGAGUGGGGAGCAAACAGG
rnacentral:rRNA from 1 species